AGUGAACGCUGGCGGUAGGCCUAACACAUGCAAGUCGAACGGCAGCACAGUAAGAGCUUGCUCUUACGGGUGGCGAGUGGCGGACGGGUGAGGAAUACAUCGGAAUCUACUUUUUCGUGGGGGAUAACGUAGGGAAACUUACGCUAAUACCGCAUACGACCUACGGGUGAAAGCAGGGGAUCUUCGGACCUUGCGCGAUUGAAUGAGCCGAUGUCGGAUUAGCUAGUUGGCGGGGUAAAGGCCCACCAAGGCGACGAUCCGCAGCUGGUCUGAGAGGAUGAUCAGCCACACUGGAACUGAGCCACGGUCCAGACUCCUACGGUGGGCCGCAGUGGGGAAUAUUGGACAAUGGGCGCAAGCCUGAUCCAGCCGUACCGCGUGGGUGACGAAGGCCUUCGGGUUGUAAAGCCCUUUUGUUGGGAAAGAAAAGCAGCAGGUUAAUACCCCGCUGUUCUGACGGUACCCAAAGAAUAAGCACCGGCUAACUUCGUG
rnacentral:rRNA from 1 species